AUUGAACGCUGGCGGCAGGCCUAACACAUGCAAGUCGAGCGAGCGGCGGACGGGUGAGUAAUGUAUGGGGACUGCCCGAUAGAGGGGGAUAACUAAUGGAAACGGUUGCUAAUUCCGCAUACUAUCGGAUAACCCAUAUGGGAUUAGCUAGUAGGUGGGGUAACGGAUCACGUAGGCGACGAUCUCUAGCUGGUCUGAGAGGAUGAUCAGUCACAAUGGGACUGAGACACGGCCCAGAAUCCUACGGAGGCAGCAGUGGGGAAUAUUGCACAAUGGGCGAAAGCCUGAUGCAGCCAUGCCGCGUGUAUGAAGAAGGCCUUCGGGUUGUAAAGUACUUUAAGUCGGGAGGCGUUACCGACAGAAGAAGCACCGGCUAACUCCGUGCCAGCAGCCGCGGUAAUAC
rnacentral:rRNA from 1 species